UACGUAGGGUGCGAGCGUUGUCCGGAAUUAUUGGGCGUAAAGAGCUUGUAGGCGGUUUGUCGCGUCUGCUGUGAAAUUCCAGGGCUUAACCCUGGGCUUGCAGUGGGUACGGGCAGACUAGAGUGUGGUAGGGGAGACUGGAAUUCCUGGUGUAGCGGUGGAAUGCGCAGAUAUCAGGAGGAACACCAAUAGCGAAGGCAGCUCGCUGGGACGGUACUGACGCUAAGGCGCGAAAGCGUGGGGAGCGAACAGG
rnacentral:rRNA from 1 species